rnacentral:lncRNA from 1 species
AGUGUGGGUAGAGUCCAGUGUGUGGGUAGAGUCCAGUGUGUGGGUAGAGUCCAGUGUGUGAGUAGGAGUCCAGUGUGUGGGUAGAGUCCAGUGUGUGGGUAGAGUCCAGUGUGUGGUAGAGUCCAGUGUGUGGGAAGAGUCCAGUGUGUGGGUAGAGUCCUGUGUGUGGGUAGAGUCCAGUGUGUGGGUAGAGUCCAGUGUGUGGGUAGAGUCCAGUGUGUGGGUAGAGUCCAGUGUGUGGGUAGAGUCCAGUGUGUGGGUAGAGUCCAGUGUGUGGGUAGAGUCCAGUGUGUGGGUAGAGUCCAGUGUGUGGAUAGAGUCCAGUGUGUGGGUAGAGUCCAGUGUGUGGGUAGAGUCCAGUGUGUGGGUAGAGUCCAGUGUGUGGGUAGAGUCCAGUGUGUGGGUAGAGUCCAGUGUGUGGGUAGAGUCCAGUGUGUGGGUAGAGUCCAGUGUGUGGGUAGAGUCCAGUGUGUGGGUAGAGUCGAGUGUGUGAAUAGAGUCCAGUGUGUGGGUAGAGUCCAGUGUGUGGGUAGAGUCCAGUGUGUGGGUAGAGUCCAGUGUGUUGGUAGAGUCCAGUGUGUGGGUAGAGUCCAGUGUGUGGGUAGAGUCCAGUGUGUGAGUAGAGU